rnacentral:rRNA from 1 species
GAUGAACGCUGGCGGCGUGCCUAAUACAUGCAAGUCGAGCGAACAGACGAGGAGCUUGCUCCUCUGACGUUAGCGGCGGACGGGUGAGUAACACGUGGAUAACCUACCUAUAAGACUGGGAUAACUUCGGGAAACCGGAGCUAAUACCGGAUAAUAUAUUGAACCGCAUGGUUCAAUAGUGAAAGACGGUUUUGCUGUCACUUAUAGAUGGAUCCGCGCCGCAUUAGCUAGUUGGUAAGGUAACGGCUUACCAAGGCAUCGAUGCGUAGCCGACCUGAGAGGGUGAUCGGCCACACUGGAACUGAGACACGGUCCAGACUCCUACGGGAGGCAGCAGUAGGGAAUCUUCCGCAAAGGGCGAAAGCCUGACGGAGCAACGCCGCGUGAGUGAUGAAGGUCUUCGGAUCGUAAAACUCUGUUAUUAGGGAAGAACAAAUGUGUAAGUAACUAUGCACGUCUUGACGGUACCUAAUCAGAAAGCCACGGCUAACUACGUG